AUUUCUGUUUUGGUGGUAUUGUUGUAUUGGUUGAUGUCCAUUUACUAUCCUGCUUCGGGUUGUUUCUCUUUUGAAUUUAUGAAUUUUCUGUUUCCGCUAAUUUGUGAUCAUGUUUGAAAAAAUUGUUGCUUUACCUGUAACGUGUGUUUUUUUUUUUUUUUUUUUUUUUUUUUUUUUUUCUGAUUAUCAAAAUAUGCCUUUUUUUUUGCUGCUUGAAUUGUUGCCGUAUAGUGUAGCCGUGACUUAGGCCUUUUGACUGAUUGUUCAGCUCUCUCAGCCAUGGUUUCUGUUACCUACAUUAUCUCGAUAAUGACCUCUUUUUCCAGUUCGUAGAAGAAGAGGUGAACAUAUAUAUAUAUACAUAUAUACUGGUAAAUAAUAUUGAAUCAAUGAUUGCACACGGGUUCAUUACUCAUGCAUUCUUUUGAACAGAUACUUACGAGAUGCCAAGGAACUUCCUUUUUUAAUGUCAUUAACGGUUUUACUGAUUUGCAAUGAUUGAGUAUAUGAUACUGAUAGAAGUGAGGUAGAAAGAAUGAGGGCAACCGAGAUGGAGGCUGCCGCCAUUAUGUUUUACUAUUAAUCUCUUCCUCUAAUUUAGUUUUGAAACUUGAAAACCGUUAUGACAGGAUGAGUUGGGUAUCAUUUAUAUCCAGUUUUGCCAAUGCCUAGCUCAAAGCAUAUUAAAUAUCUCACUGUGAUGUUUUUCUGAAUGCUCCUGCAUCAUCUGGGUGUUAAUCUUUUAUUUUGUAAUACUUUCUACCUCCAGUUGGGCUGUGUUAGUAUAUUGUGGAAAUUAGAAGCAUCAAAAUUUGACGGAGUACUUGGGAGAAGGAUGCAUAGUUAUUGCAAAGACUAACAGAUUUUGGAAUAAUAUUAUGAGUAUUCAUUCUUACUCAUUUACCUUUUCUGUUUUUAUAUGUUAUUAGUUUAUUUUCCCUUUCACAAGACUUCAAAUCAGUAUUGGACUUUUAUGAGAGGCCUACAUAAACUUCUAUAAUUCUAUUAACUUGCUUAACAAAUACUAAUUGCUGAUAGAUCUAAUUCACUGAAUGUAUGUGCUGUUAGUUGUUAAUAAUGAUUUACGCCGCAUCGUGUUUCUUCUUCUUUUGNGUAGUCCGUGACUUAGGUCCUUUGUACUGUAUUGUUCUAGUCUCUCUACUAGUCCUAUGGUUACCUGUAACGUGUGUUUUUUUUUUUUUUUUUUUUUGUUUUUUUCUUGAUUAUCAAAAUAUGCCUUUUUUUUGCUGCUUGAAUUGUUGUCGUAUAGUGUAGCCGUGACUUAGGCCUUUUGACUGAUUGUUCAGCUCUCUCAGCCAUGGUUUCUGUUACCUACAUUAUCUCGAUAAUGACCUCUUCUUCCAGUUCGUAGAAGAAGAGGUGAACAUAUAUAUAUAUACAUAUAUACUGGUAAAUAAUAUUGAAUCAAUGAUUAUUGCAUAUAUAUAUAUACAUAUAUUAAAUAAUAUUGCACACGGGUUCAUUACUCAUGCAUUCUUUUGAACAGAUACUUACGAGAUGCCAAGGAACUUCCUUUUUUAAUGUCAUUAACGGUUUUACUGAUUUGCAAUGAUUGAGUAUAUGAUACUGAUAGAAGUGAGGUAGAAAGCAUGAGGGCAACCGAGAUGGAGGCUACCGCCAUUAUGUUUUACUAUUAAUCUCUUCCUCUAAUUUAGUUUUGAAACUUGAAAGCCGUUAUGACAGGAUGAGUUGGGUAUCAUUUAUAUCCAGUCUUGCCAAUGCCUAG
rnacentral:lncRNA from 1 species